UCAGUGCAGGCCUUAAUACGGUGAAACCGCGAAUGGCUCAUUAAAUCAGCUAUGGUUUAUUGGAUCGUACCCGUUAAAUGGAUAACUGUAAUAACUCUAGAGCUAAUACAUGCCACGAUGCCCUGACCCCGUAGGGGAAUGGGUGCACUUAUUAGAUCAGAAGCCAACCAGUUUGCACGGCAGUUGCCUCGGUGGCUGUCGUGUGGGCUGUAGAACUUCUGGUGACUCUGGAUAAUUGUUACAGAUCGCAGUCGGCCUUGAGUCGGCGACGGGUCCUUCAAAUGUCUGCCCUAUCAACUUUCGAUGGUAGGUGACCUGCCUACCAUGGUGAUAACGGGUAACGGGGAAUCAGGGUUCGAUUCCGGAGAGGGAGCCUGAGAAACGGCUACCACUUCCAAGGGAGGCAGCAGGCGCGCAAAUUACCCACUCCCAGCACGGGAGGUGGU
rnacentral:rRNA from 1 species